GACGAACGCUGGCGGCGUGCCUAAUACAUGCAAGUCGAACGCAGUGGGGACGGGUUAGUAACACGUGGGUAACCUCCCAUCAGAGUGGGUAACACUUGGAAACAGGUGCUAAACCGCUACUGAUGGAUGGACCCGCGGUGGAUUAGCUAGUUGGUGGGGUAACGGCUCACCAAGGCCACGAUGCAUAGCCGGACUGAGAGGGGGAGCCGCCACACUGGGACUGAGACACGGCCCAGACUCCUACGGGAGGCAGGAGUGGGGAAUUUUCCGCAAUGGACGAAAGUCUGACCGAGCCACGCCGCGGGGAGGAAGAAGGUUUUCGGGUCGGAAAACUCUGUUGGUAGGGAAGCGGUAUUCAACGAAGAAGCCACGGCUAACUACGUGCCAGCAGCCGCGGGAAUUC
rnacentral:rRNA from 1 species